rnacentral:rRNA from 1 species
CUACGGGGUGCAGCAGUGAGGAAUUUUGCGCAAUGGGGGUAACCCUGACGCAGCAACGCCGCGUGAGUGAUGAAGGCUUUCGGGUCGUAAAGCUCUGUCAAGUGGGAAGAAUAUACGAAAUGCUAAUACCAUUUUGUACUGACGGUACCACUGAAGGAAGCACCGGCUAACUCCGUGCCAGCAGCCGCGGUAAUACGGGGGGUGCAAGCGUUAUGUGGAAUUAUUGGGCGUAAAGAGCACGUAGGCGGCCGCUUAAGUCAGAUGUGAAAGCCCGGGGCUCAACCCCGGAAGUGCAUUUGAAACUAAGUGGCUUGAGUAUGGGAGAGGGAAGUGGAAUUCCUGGUGUAGAGGUGAAAUUCGUAGAUAUCAGGAGGAACACCGGUGGCGAAGGCGACUUCCUGGACCAAUACUGACGCUGAGGUGCGAAGGCGUGGGGAGCAAACAGGAUUAGAUACCCGGGUAGUC